GAGGCGUGAUAAGUGUUAUGUUUUACAGCUUAGAUUAUUAAAUGAUUAUGAUGAUGUUAUUGUUUUUCUCAUAUUGUUUUCAUAAAUUCCACCAAGGUAAGUGGAUGGUAAAGGUUUUCAUGUUAAUAAACGAGUUUAUUGUAAAUUGUGCUCCAUUGGUCUUUUUGUGGUUUUCUACCCACCUUUAUUUCCGUGACGGUGAGAUAUCGUGAUGUUCUUACUGGGCUAGUGUAGCUCACUCCUUAAUUAACCAUUUCAGAUCAGGAAGACAUGGUUCCCGAGCCCGUUCCGCAGGAGGACGACGAAGGGGAUGCCUAGAGACUCUGUAGACAUACGCAUAGUCUUAUUUUCGAGUUCCUCUCUUAGUUAGUUUAACCUUUUAUAUUUUAAGUACGUUUGUUUGGUUUUUCGUGUAAGGGAUGUUAAUUGAAAUUUUGAUCUCGCUUCCGCAUUUGAUAUAUUUAAAUACUCAUUUCAUUUUAAUAUUUCCGGGGUCGUUACAGUUGGUAUCAGAGCCGCAUUUCCUCGGACCCAUCCCUUACACAAUAGUGCCUUAGAGUAAUACUCAUUGAUAUAUCGUUACUCAAUCAUUACUUGUGAAGACGAGUACACGGGAAUGAGGAGAGGAAGGCCCCCACUAAACCAAGCGGCCCAAGAUAAUUCGCUUCGGGAGGAUUUAGACAGACUAUUUGAGAUGGUGGAGGCUCUCGUAACUGCCCAGCAAAGGCAAGAGGAGAGAAGGGAGUUACCCGGACCUCCUCCGCUAGCGCAGGUUGAGCCCCCGCUACAGUAGGCUGAUCUCGAGCCACCCCGGCAGGAGCCUGUUCCUCCACAGUACCACCCGGCGCCACAGCCGCGGUACGACCCUGUACCACAGCCACGGUACCAGCAGGCGUCGCCACAGCACAUUCCAGUACCCCCACCACAUCAGCAGGUGCCACCACAGGGUCCCCCAGUUAACCCUCAGCCGGCCCAAGUUCCUCUACCUCGGGACCCCGCUACUUCCUUGAUCGACCCCGGCUUCAUAGAGAGGUACAGAAGACUGAACCCUUCUACUUUUGCAGGGGGAUCCUCUUUUGAAGAGGCCCAAUACUAGCUGGCAGAGACUGAAAGAGCUUUCGAGACCUUGGGAGUAGUUCCUGAGCAGAGGGCUGCCAUUGCCUCCUACAUGCUAGUAGGGGAGACAUUGCUAGGAGAGGUUGUCUACAGGGCAUGUGUCGUGGAGAUAGCAGAUAGGAAAUUGAGGGUAGACCUGAUAGGGUUAGACACAUGGGAUUUUGAUGUAAUCCUAGGAAUGGAUUGGCUAGCGGUGUAUCACACCACUAUAGAUUGCUUUAACAAAAAGAUUGUAUUUAAUCCUCCCAACGAGGAGCCAUUUACAAGUUAAUAAAAUUAUUCGGUACUGAUUUUCCCUAAUGACAAAUUCUUUUCUUCUUAAUUCCCAGUGCCUUAAUAUUGUAUUUUCCCUAACUACGUAAACCCAAGAAAGAANNNNNNNNNNNNNNNNNNNNNNNNNNNNNNNNNNNNNNNNNNNNNNNNNNNNNNNNNNNNNNNNNNNNNNNNNNNNNNNNNNNNNNNNNNNNNNNNNNNNNNNNNNNNNNNNNNNNNNNNNNNNNNNNNNNNNNNNNNNNNNNNNNNNNNNNNNNNNNNNNNNNNNNNNNNNNNNNNNNNNNNNNNNNNNNNNNNNNNNNNNNNNNNNNNNNNNNNNNNNNNNNNNNNNNNNNNNNNNNNNNNNNNNNNNAAAGAAGUUUGUAUCCAAGAGAUUCCAGUAGUCCGAGACUUUCCAUACGUAUUUCCGGAUGAACUGCCCGGUCUACCAGGGGACAGAGAGGUCGAGUUCACCAUAGACUUACAGCCAGGAACCCAGCCCAUCUCGGUAGCUCCUUACCAAAUGAGCCGCAUCGAGAUGGAAGAGCUAAGGAAACAAAUCACUGAGCUACAAAACAGUGGCUUCAUUAGACACAGCAUUUCCCCAUGGGGUGCCGGGGUUACUUUUGCAAAAAAAAAAAGGGGGAUGGAACGUUGAGACUGUGUAUUGAUUAUAGAAGGAUAAACAAGGUAACAAUUAAAAAAAACAAGUACCCUCUUCCCCGGAUUGAUGACCUUUUCGAUCAGUUGCAGGGUGCACAGGUCUUUUCUAAAAUAGAUCUACGAUCAGGUUACCAUCAGGUAAAAGUGAGAGCAGAAGACAUCCCCAAGACGGCAUUCCGAACCAGGUACGGACACUAUGAGUUCCUGGUUAUGCCGUUUGGGCUAACCAACGCCCCGGCCAUCUUUUUGGAUCUAAUGAACAGAAUCUUCAGAGAGUUUUUGGAUAAAUUUGUCAUCGUGUUCAUCGAUGAUAUCUUAGUCUACUCAAAAAGUAGAGAAGAACAUGCUCAUCAUCUUGCCCAAGUCCUCCAGGUACUCAGGGAAAAGAAGUUGUAUGCAAAGUUGAGCAAGUGUGGAUUUUGGCUCGAGCAAACCGCCUUCCUAGGACAUGUUAUAUCGAAGGAAGGGGUGUCGGUGAACCCCGAAAAGGUUGAAGCGGUACUUGGUUGGGAAAGGCUGACAACAGUUAAGGAAAAUCGCAGUUUCCUAGGGAUGGUGGGUUAUUACCGCCGGUUUGUCGAAGGGUUCUCCAGUCUAGCGGCCCCUCUAACCCGACUCACAAAGAAGAAUGCAAAGUUUGAUUGGAAUGAGAACUGCGAAAGGAGUUUUUCAGAAUUGAAGAAGCGACUGACUACUGCACCCGUGCUGGCUCUACCGAGUGGAUCAGGAGGGUAUACAGUUUAUAGUGAUGCCUCCUAUCUGGGCCUGGGUUGUGUCCUGAUGCAGCAUGGAAAGGUUAUAGCAUAUGGGUCUAGACAGCUAAAGAAUCAUGAGAAGAACUAUCCUACCCAUGACUUGGAGCUUGCCGCAAUCAUACACGCCUUGAAAAUCUGGCGCCAUUAUUUGUAUGGAGAGACCUUUCAGAUCUACACCGAUCAUAAGAGUUUGAAGCACAUCUUCACUCAGAAGGAUCUCAACAUGCGUCAGAGAAGGUGGAUGGAACUCCUCAAGGACUAUGAUUGUGACAUCCUAUACCAUCCAGGUAAGGGCAACGUAGUAGCCGAUGCCCUCAGUAGGAAGAGUGCAGGCACCCUAGCCCAUCUGAUGGUUUCGGAAUGCAGGUCCAUUGGGGCUACGCAGCAGGUUCGACUGCAAGAUCUGAAGAGGGCCACAUGUUUGAGCCACCUAGCAGUCCAACCCGAGUUAAUCCAAAGAAUAAAGGAAGCCCAGUCAGUCGACCCCGCCCUAGUAAACCGCAAGAAGGAUGCAGAACAAGGAGUAAACUCAGAAUUUCAGAUCUCUGCCGACGGAUUGAUUCGUUUCAAGGACAGAAUGUGUGUCCCAGACGACAAUGAAUUAAAAAGAGACAUCAUGACAGAGUCCCAUAGUUCAAGGUUCGCCAUGCAUCCAGGAAGUACAAAAAUGUACCAAACUAUGCGACCCCGAUUCUGGUGGAAUGGGAUGAAGAGAGAUAUAGCCGACUUUGUAUCUAAGUGCUUGGUAUGUCAGCAGGUCAAGGCAGAACAUCAACGCCCAGGGGGGUUGCUUCAGCCUUUGCCGAUUCCAGAAUGGAAGUGGGAACACAUCACUAUGGACUUCGUAUCGGGACUACCCAAGGCACGAUCGGGACACGAUGCCAUAUGGGUAAUUGUUGAUCGACUCACUAAGUCUUCCCACUUCCUGGCCAUCAGAAUGACUGAUUCGUUGGACAAGUUGGCAAGAAUGUAUGUCCGGGAAAUAGUCAGACUGCAUGGGGUCCCAGUAACAGUGGUGUCCGACAGGGAUCCCAGAUUCACUUCUCGGUUCUGGAAUAGUUUCCAGCAAGCUAUGGGAACAAAGCUGUCCCUUAGUACUGCCUUCCACCCCCAAACCGAUGGACAAUCAGAGAGGACAAUCCGUACACUGGAGGAUAUGCUCCGAGCUUGUGUCCUUGACUCCGGAGGCCAUUGGGACGACCACCUACCCCUGAUAGAGUUUGCCUACAACAACAGUUACCAAGCAAGCAUCGGCAUGGCCCCAUACGAGGCGCUAUACGGGCGUCCGUGCAGGUCACCGAUUUGUUGGGAGGAAGUGGGCGAUAGAAGAUUGUUUGGCCCGGAUUUGGUGGAAGAAACCACGUCCAAGAUAGUUAAGAUCAAGAAGAACAUCCAGACAGCUCAGAGUAGGCAAAAGAGCUAUGCUGAUACCCGGAGGAGAGACCUGGCCUUUGAGAAAGGUGACCGUGUGUUUCUUAAAGUCACCCCCUUCAAGGGAAUUAGUAGGUUCGGCAGAAGGGGAAAAUUAAACCCCAGAUACAUUGGACCCUUUGAAAUCUUAGACAAGAUUGGUACCACUGCCUACAGACUUGCACUGCCCCCUGAGCUCUCCCGGGUUCACAAUGUGUUUCAUGUAUCCAUGCUGCGCAAGUACAAUCCGGACCCUUCUCAUGUCGUGGCUCAUGAACCGCUUUCACUCCGAGAGGACUUGUCUUAUGAAGAAGUACCGGUCAGUAUCACAGACCGAGAAAGCAGAAUACUCCGUAACCGGGAAAUAUCAUUUGUAAAAGUCUUGUGGCAGAACCACACACCUAGGGAGGCGACUUGGGAGCUGGAAUCAGAAUUUAGGGCCCAAUAUCCUCAUCUGUUUGAUCAAGAGUAAUGAGGCAAAUUUGGGGACCAAAUUUCUUUAUGGGGGGGAGAGUUGUAGCACCCGGAAAGGAGGAGGAAAAAAAAAAAAAAAAAAAAAAAAAAAAAAAAAAAAAAAAAAAAAAAAGGGGGGGGGGCCACGUCAGCAGCCGCGUCAGCAGCCACGUCAGCAGUCCCGGCCAACCAGGGCCUGACACGUGGCAAGAUCGCGUCACUCCGAAAGGAGCCACGUUGGCGAUCCGCGUGGGUGCGAUCCGACGGCCCAGAUCAAUCACGCGAUCGGACGGCCCAGAUUCAAUCGCACGGACGGCCCAGAUUCAAUCAAAAACGAACGGCCCAGAUUAAAACAAAAUGAACGGCUGUGAUCAAAAGGCAAGGGGUUAUAAAUAGAACCCCCACACCAGACCACAAACCCUAGCCGCCAGCCGCUCGCCGGAGAAGACGAACCAGAGGCCGACCGCCGCCACCCGCCGCCGCUCGCCGCCGCACCGGGGAAAUUUCCGACCGCCGAUCGAGGUAAAUUUCAUACCCCCGACUCGUUUUUCCCCACUGAUUCCUCCUAUGGCCAAAUCGAAACCGAAAUCCCGGCCAAACGGCCGGAAUACGCGGCCGAAGCCCAGCGGCGCCGCCGCGCCCCCUCUCGGUUUUUGCCUCCGACGAGGCCCUUCCCGGCCUCCGUUCGAUGCAAUUUUUAUAUCACCGUGAUCACCAUUCUUUUCUCUACAGGUUGACCGGAGCCGAAUCACCAAAACACGAACCUCGCCGGAGAGCCGCUGCACCCGAGAGCGCCGCCACCGGUAAGCUCCGUUUUUCCGUGAUUUUUUGGCCCCCCGAGGGCCCUAGGGUUGUUUUCUGACAAGGACCAAUGCGAGUGUGGCCGAAUUCGGCCGAAAACGGCCGAAAACAGUCAACCCGAGGUGACUCGCCGCCGCCAGCGGCGGCGCCGUCGCCGGAGCACGGCGGAGCCGCCGUGCCGGAGUUGCGAUUUGGGCCGAAAGAGGCCCUGGGCCUAAUUUGGAUUUUUUUUGGAACACGUGCAGGUACGGUUAGUGUGUUUCAGUUUCCCGGGAAAAAUUCAGGGAAAAUUAGGGACGGCCUGCAGGCGCACUGUGAAUCGUAUUCAGAUCCCGAAAACAAGUAAGGACCCCUCACCCUAUUUCCUAUCACGGUAUUAAAGUUCAAAAUGAUAAAAUGGUAUUUCUUGAAUUAACGCAUGUGUGAAAUUGCUUAAGGUUGCUAAUGGAGCCCGAGUCUAGUGUGAUUGAUGAUUUACUGUUAUUUGGUCUGUUUUACACUGUUUUACAGCUUUAAAUGCAUUAUGGGGUUUGAUGUGUUCAUUUUACAGAUUUGUGUGCAUAUACUACGUUUUUAUUAAUUAUGGGUUGAAUGACUGAAAAACUGAUAUUGUAUGUUGUCUGUUGGUAUGAAUUACGAUUUGCUUGUUUAAAUGUGAAUUGAUGAUGUUGAUUGAGGAAAAGGAAAAUGAAAGAUUGUAUAGACUGAUAAUUGUAUUAUGGGGGUCAGCCUGACUAGAUAUCCUGGGAGAUGGUGGACGGACCGGGUCCGUAGGGAACCCUACCGGGAUUGUGGUCUCACAUGCCGGACGGGGUAUGGAGAUCUUAUGGUUUUGGCGCCCAUACCGGACGGGGUAUGGGGACGGCCCGUUUCACCCUCAUACCGGACGGGGUAUUGAGGUUUAUGGUUUUGGCGCCCAUACCGGACGGGGUAUGAGGACGGCCCGUUUCACCCUCAUACCGGACGGGGUAUUGAGGUUCAUGGUUUUGGCGCCCAUACCGGACGGGGUAUGGGGACGGCCCUGGAAACUGAUUAUGAAUGUUAAAGGUUAACGGGUAGCGGAACCCCUAUGGACCCCCACGGAUACUAGUAGGCUGGUAAAUGAGAAAAAGGGAUAUGUUGUACAAUGAUUGAAUUACAAGAGGCGUGAUAAGUGUUAUGUUUUACAGCUUAGAUUAUUAAAUGAUUAUGAUGAUGUUAUUGUUUUUCUCAUAUUGUUUUCAUAAAUUCCACCAAGGUAAGUGGAUGGUAAAGGUUUUCAUGUUAAUAAACGAGUUUAUUGUAAAUUGUGCUCCAUUGGUCUUUUUGUGGUUUUCUACCCACCUUUAUUUCCGUGACGGUGAGAUAUCGUGAUGUUCUUACUGGGCUAGUGUAGCUCACUCCUUAAUUAACCAUUUCAGAUCAGGAAGACAUGGUUCCCGAGCCCGUUCCGCAGGAGGACGACGAAGGGGAUGCCUAGAGACUCUGUAGACAUACGCAUAGUCUUAUUUUCGAGUUCCUCUCUUAGUUAGUUUAACCUUUUAUAUUUUAAGUACGUUUGUUUGGUUUUUCGUGUAAGGGAUGUUAAUUGAAAUUUUGAUCUCGCUUCCGCAUUUGAUAUAUUUAAAUACUCAUUUCAUUUUAAUAUUUCCGGGGUCGUUACAAGUGCCAUUUGGAGUAAUAAAUAUAAUAUUUUUUUGAUGAG
rnacentral:lncRNA from 1 species